CCUACGGGUGGCAGCAGUGAGGAAUAUUGGUCAAUGGACGAGAGUCUGAACCAGCCAAGUAGCGUGAAGGAUGACUGCCCUAUGGGUUGUAAACUUCUUUUAUAUGGGAAUAAAACAGGGUAUGCAUACCCUCUUGUAUGUACCAUAUGAAUAAGGAUCGGCUAACUCCGUGCCAGCAGCCGCGGUAAUACGGAGGAUCCGAGCGUUAUCCGGAUGUAUUGGGUUUAAAGGGAGCGUAGGUGGAUUGUUAAGUCAGUGGUGAAAGUUUGCGGCUCAACCGUAAAAUUGCAGUUGAAACUGGCAGUCUUGAGUACAGUAGAGGUGGGCGGAAUUCGUGUUGUAGCGGUGACAUGCUUAGAUAUCACGAAGAACUCCGAUUGCGAAGGCAGCUCACUGGACUGCAACUGACACUGAUGCUCGAAAGUGUGGGUAGCAAACAGGAUUAGAUACCCGAGUAGUC
rnacentral:rRNA from 1 species